AUUGAACGCUGGCGGAAUGCUUUACACAUGCAAGUCGAACGGCAGCACGGAGAGCUUGCUCUCUGGUGGCGAGUGGCGAACGGGUGAGUAAUAUAUCGGAACGUGUCCAAUAAUGGGGGAUAACGAGUCGAAAGAUUCGCUAAUACCGCAUACGCCCUACGGGGGAAAGCAGGGGAUCGUAAGACCUUGCGUUAAUGGAGCGGCCGAUAUCUGAUUAGCUUGUUGGUGAGGUAAAGGCUCACCAAGGCGACGAUCAGUAGCUGGUUUGAGAGAACGACCAGCCACACUGGAACUGAGACACGGUCCAGACUCCUACGGGAGGCAGCAGUGGGGAAUUUUGGACAAUGGGGGCAACCCUGAUCCAGCCAUUCCGCGUGAGUGAAGAAGGCCUUCGGGUUGUAAAGCUCUUUCGCGAGGGAAGAAAACUUAUGAUCGAAUAAAUCAUGAGGUUGACGGUACCUUGAUAAGAAGCACCGGCUAACUACGUGCCAGCAGCCGCGGUAAUACGUAGGGUGCGAGCGUUAAUCGGAAUUACUGGGCGUAAAGCGUGCGCAGGCGGUUUUGUAAGUCGGAUGUGAAAUCCCCGGGCUCAACCUGGGAACUGCGUUCGAAACUGCAAGGCUAGAGUGUGUCAGAGGGGGGUAGAAUUCCACGUGUAGCUAGUGAAAUGCGUAGAGAUGUGGAGGAAUACCAAUGGCGAAGGCAGCCCCC
rnacentral:rRNA from 1 species